rnacentral:rRNA from 1 species
UUGGUAAAUCUCGUGCCAGCCACCGCGGUUAUACGAGAGACCCUAGUUGAUAGGUUCGGCGUAAAGGGUGGUUUAGGAUACUAAUAAAUUAAAGCCAAAGCCCUUUUAAGCUGUCACACGCGAUCCAAAGGCACGAAGCCCAAACACGAAAGUAGCUUUAUUAAUAGCCUGACCCCACGAAAACUGAGAAACAAACUAGGAUUAGAUACCCCAC